AGGGCCAUGAGGAAAAGAGAAUAGAGCUGGUCCGCUUGGCCCCAGAGAAUGAGCAAUCAAGGGUGGAAAUUACCAGGAGGCUGGCACCCAAAGGGGGGCCGAGGGAGAAAAGCCUGUUAGCGAAAAGUGAAAUGGACAGGUCCUGGAGGAUCGCUGCUCGGGUGCGUUGGAAAGAAGAUAACCGCCGGUGUCGGUUGGACUGGGUGGCCUCUGAGGUUCCUUCCAACUCUGAGUUUCUGUGACUGGUUUGAAAGGGAUCAGAGGUCAUUUGGUCCAACCCUCUCGCUUCAAGCGGUACCAGCAGUCCUGAACAGAAUUGGAUUCCUUAAGUCCUCGAGGGCAGGAGAAGCCUGAGGGGAGCGGCUCCUUCCAGGUCUGAGGCUGUGGGAGAAGCCGAGACCGAGACCGAGAGUUGAGGCCGGGGCCCUCGCGCCAGUCCUGUGCUGCUUCCUUACGCUACCAUGGACCGCAAAGCUUUGGGAUGGGCGGGCGGGAGACAAGGCUCGGGUUUCUGGCCUGAGAGUCUAGAAGCAAGGAGGCUUAACCUGUGUUAUAUACUGGGCCCCUUUAGCAGUAGGGAAGCCUACGAACCUCCAAGUCGUGUUUUAUAAUCUAGUGGAGGACAAGGGAAAUCAAUGAUAGGAAAUAAUUAUUAAAAAAAAAUUUGAACCAAAUUCAUAGAUUUCCCUGAAAUCUAACCAUAGACUCCUUAAGGGGUCUGGUCAAAAAUCCCUCCCUUAAGUAUGGUUAAGCUGCUUACGCUCCCAGCUUUCUGAUUGGUGCAAAUGGCAGUCCACAGUCCUCCAAGCUGCAGGGAGGAGCAAGAGGAAGAAUCCCACCUAAGGGGCCAGUCUCUCGCCUGGAAAGUUACGGCCAGCACCUAAAGGUGCUUCCCCUAGUCUCUGCUCAUUCCUCAGCACUGGAUGCAGGAGGACCUGACAAUAUCUUGUUCUCAGUGGGCUGGUUGUUCCUGUGGUAAACCAUUCAAUGCCUUAUUUCCCAUGCCAAUUCCAAUAAAAUACCGUCCACAUCUUUUCCUGUGCCUCACUUCUUCCCCCACAACAGCACAUCCAUCACUUCUCGGCCGUGUUUUUUUUUUCUUGUACCAUUAAUAAAUACUUGAUGCACAAUU